GGGCUUGAUAGGAACCAGAUCCACCCCAAUGACCAAGCUGGAGACCGGCAUGAAUUUGGAAGCCACCUGCAGCCACCCGCCGGGGGCCGCACAGAGGUCCAGCAGCGCUCGCGCCUUCUGCAGGAACUGGAACUUCCUAUUGAGCUGCAGCAGCUUAAAGGCGGAACGGGAGCGGAACCCCGUCUCCUUGGCCAGGUGGUAGAAUUUGUCCCGCCGGCUCUUCCCCACUUUGCUUUUCUUGCCCAUGGCGGCGGGGCUGCGGCCUCCUCUCCCUCACCGGCACCGACCCGAUCGCCGCCGCGCUCGCUCCUCGU
rnacentral:lncRNA from 1 species